GAAAAGAGUAAGCAACCUCAGAAAGAAGAGAUUCUGUGAUGUCACAGUGAUACUGUUAGGCGAUAGAAUCCUCGCAGAUAAGGAACUGUGGAAGAGUCCAGCUAAGACAGAGGACAACCUAGGCGUAUUUCAUCAUCCCACCAAACAAGAAGAUAGCCUGCGUCUCACUUGACAGAUCAAGGAAGGAGGGGGUGGAGGAGAUGAUGGAACAACAAGAUCUGCUGAAAGGACUUCCAUGACCUGGUGGCAGGUGAUUGCCUCCAGUAGGCCUCCAUAUAUGGAGGUUGCAAACAUUGGGGAUGUGGAAUUGAAUCCACCAGAUAUAGUGGCACCAUGCUUGAAAACUCAUUAUCACCUUUCCAUCAGCGGUCCCUGGGAAGAACAAUCCUGAGCAGGAGUUGUGGAGGUGAUAGCCUACCAUCGAAAGGAAGCCAUGACAGAGUUGACACCGCAGUUGGGAAUUCAGGCUGCUGGAACCAGCAAAGAGAUAUCCCACAAGCCUGCAUUCAGCUACCUAUUUCUGCCACCAGCUCCUCAUCUGCUACAGGCUCCAUAAAUGCCUAAAACAGUGCAAGGAACUAAGGAUCAAUUGAUCAAGUGUUUUUCCCUAUGGCAGACAUCUCAUAUUCAACCCAUGACAAGGAAUUUAUAUUGACAACAAGACAACUGUUUUACAUGUUGUGGGUGGUGACACUGUUGGGUUUUGACUUUGAAGCAGGGUGUUACUAUAAUCCAGACUGGCCUUGAAUACACAGUGUAGCUCUGCAUAGGCUGACGUGGAAGUCAUGGAAAUCCUCCUGACAUCUCUUUUCAAUUGUUGGAAUUGUGUGCAUAGACAUUGAAAUUAUAAGCACCCUGCUUGGUUUAAGACAAUCUUCAUUAUCUAGCAUUCCCUUCCCUUAUUCUGUCAUAACUUCUAUUGCCAUACUCCAACCCAAAUAUCCCAUUUUCUUAUCUGUUUCCAAAUCUAUAAAAGCUGUAUGAGGAGUUAUUAAAUGGAUCAGUUCAAACCAAA